UGACCAUCUUGAGCAUUACGUUGAAGGCGAAGUCGGAGAGUUUGUUGGUCAAGUUCACAACAGCACCAUCGUCAGCACAUUUCCACAGGUCUGCAAGCAAAAGACCCAUUUCCAAUUUUCGAUUUGGUUCAGCAGAUUCAACUCUUUUUGUUGACAGCAGUUGUACUGUGCAGAGCUUCCUGGCUUGUCUCCAGUGCUCACCAUACUGUGCAAAGAUUAUACCUCGUCCACCAUAGCUAGCAUAUUUGGCCUCCAGAUGCUCGGGCUUCAUUG
rnacentral:lncRNA from 1 species